rnacentral:rRNA from 1 species
CCAAUAGCGUAUAUUAAAGUUGUUGCAGUUAAAAAGCUCGCAGUUGAACUUCGGGAUCAAUGGAUCGGUCAUGCCCUCGGUAUGUACUGGUCUUAUUGGUUCUCACCUUCUAAGGAACCAUGAUGUCAUUCAUUUGAUGUUAUGGGAAAUUAGGACUGUUACCUUGAAAAAAUUAGAGUGUUUAAAGCAGGCUUACGCUUGAAUACAUUAGCAUGGAAUAAUGAAAAAGGACAUCGCAUUCUAUUUUGUUGGUUUCUAGGAUCGAUGUAAUGAUUAAUAGGGAUAGUUGGGGGCAUUAGUAUUCAAUUGUCAGAGGUGAAAUUCUUGGAUUUAUUGAAGACUAACUACUGCGAAAGCAUUUGCCAAGGAUGUUUUCAUUAAUCAAGAACGAAAGUUAGGGGAUCGAAGACGAUCAGAUACCGUCGUAGUCUUAACCAUAAACUAUGCCGACUAGGGAUCGGAUGAUGUUGAUUUUAUAAUGACUCAUUCGGCACCUUACG